rnacentral:rRNA from 1 species
UACAGAGGGUGCGAGCGUUAAUCGGAAUUACUGGGCGUAAAGCGUGCGUAGACGGUAGCGUAAGUCAGAUGUGAAAGCCCCGGGCUCAACCUGGGAAUUGCAUUUGAGACUGCUCUGCUCGGGUGCGGAAGAGGGAAGCGGAAUUCCCGGUGUAGCGGUGAAAUGCGCAGAUAUCGGGAAGAACACCCGUGGCGAAGGCGGCUCUCUGGGACGGUACUGACGCUGAGACGCGAAAGCGUGGGGAGCGAACAGG